UGGGAAAUGAUGAUACUUUCCCCGAAUGAUCGAAGCUGAAUACAGACACUGCUAACAGACUCUCUUUAGAGGUCAAGCCAGAUUCCUGAUCCCA
rnacentral:snoRNA from 1 species